UACGUAGGGGGCAAGCGUUGUCCGGAAUUAUUGGGCGUAAAGAGCGCGUAGGCGGUCCGAUAAGUCGGCUGUGAAAGUCCAGGGCUCAACCCUGGAAAGCCGGCCGAUACUGUCGGACUAGAGUCCGGAAGAGGCAAGUGGAAUUCCCGGUGUAGCGGUGAGAUGCGCAGAUAUCGGGAGGAACACCAAUUGCGAAGGCAGCUUGCUGGGACGGUACUGACGCUGAGGCGCGAAAGCGUGGGGAGCAAACAGG
rnacentral:rRNA from 1 species